UACGUAGGGUGCAAGCGUUAUCCGGAAUUAUUGGGCGUAAAGAGCUCGUAGGUGGUUUGUCGCGUUGUUCGUGAAAACUCACAGCUCAACUGUGGGCGUGCGGGCGAUACGGGCAGACUAGAGUACUGCAGGGGAGACUGGAAUUCCUGGUGUAGCGGUGGAAUGCGCAGAUAUCAGGAGGAACACCGGUGGCGAAGGCGGGUCUCGUGGGCAGUAACUGACGCUGAGGAGCGAAAGCGUGGGAGCGAACAGG
rnacentral:rRNA from 1 species